GAUGCAGGAGCACCUGGGGGCAGGUGGUCCUGCGUGCGCCUCACCUGUGGGGAGCACCUGGCCGGCCUGGGGCGGAGGUGCCCGCCCUAGAAGGGGCGCCCCGCACAAGGCUGCACAGCUGCACCGAGGCCGGCGGGCGCCGAGGCGUGCAGCCCGGCCUUGCACAGCCCACAUGCCCGGGACAGGUGGGCACCUCCCAGACGGGGGACAGGCCCCUCUCCGCACUGGAGCCCCCAGGGCCGGGCGAUCUGAGCAGGGAAGGCUUCUCUGAGGUGACACCUGGGGCCUGGAUGAGCCGUGGAGCGGGCUGGACCUGCCCUGCGGGCACCGACGCCGGCGUCACGGGCUCCUGUUUGCUUGUCCCCAGGUCAUCAUGCACCCGCUGAAGCCCCGGCUCUCGGCCACCCAAGGCGUCGUGGGCAUCGCGGCCAUCUGGGGCUUGGCCACGGUCUUCUCCCUCCCCCACGCCAUCUGCCAGAAAUUAUUCACCUUCAAGUACAGUCCCCUUUGCAGUGGGAGUGGGGACGCAGCGGGUUCCACGGCCUCCACGGGCGGGCCGGCCCCGGACCAGGAGCAGCAGGGCUCAGACGUUCACGGGUCCCGACUGCGGGCCAGGAACAACCCAGGCUCAGGACACCGGCCCAGUGCAGCCCUGCCUUGGAGACGCCAGGGCGGAGCCAGCACAGCAGG
rnacentral:lncRNA from 1 species